AACAUGAUAUGCAUGCUAAAAAUGUGUCGUUCCAGAAAAGAUCCAUACUCCCCCCAUGGAGGAAAUUUCUGCCGUCCGGAGGGGGAGGGGAGAAAAAAUUGUUUCUGAUAAUAGUAAAUGUAUUAGGACAUCCGAAGGGGGUAGGGGGGUUAACUUCCUAUUUCCUCUGUGGAGGUGGUAUGGAUGUUUUCUGGAAUGCCCCAAUAACAAAAACAGUAAAACACAUAGCAUCACCGGCAUUGGCCAUUGACAAUGGCAUAGGUAAUCUAUUUGUCUUGCUUACAUUUCUGGGAUGGCAAGAAAUAGUUGAAAGCACUAUUUCUUUGAAAGGGAACUAUUGGGUAACAUAAGCUUUUCUAAAAUUGGCUAUCCAGGUAAACACAUUUUUAUCCAGGUAAACACACAAGGGGUCUAUUUAUAUUUGCA